rnacentral:rRNA from 1 species
GACGAACGCUGGCGGCGUGCUUAACACACGCAAGUCGAACGGUGAAGCACCUUCCUUUUGGUGGGUGUGGAUGAGUGGCGAACGGGUGAGUAACACGUGAGUAACCUGCCCCCUUCUUCUGGAUAACCGCAUGAAAGUGUGGCUAAUACGGGAUAUUCUGGGUCUGUCGCAUGGCGGGCCUGGGAAAGAUAUUGUUUCGGUGGGGGAUGGGCUCGCGGUCUAUCAGCUUGUUGGUGGGGUGAUGGCCUACCAAGGCGGUGACGGGUAGCCGGCCUGAGAGGGUGGACGGUCACACUGGGACUGAGACACGGCCCAGACUCCUACGGGAGGCAGCAGGGGGGAAUAUUGCACAAUGGGCGCAAGCCUGAUGCAGCGACGCCGCGUGAGGGAUGGAGGCCUUCGGGUUGUAAACCUCUUUCGCCAGUGAAGCAGGCCUGUCCCUUUUGUGGGUGGGUUGACGGUAGCUGGAUAAGAAGCGCCGGCUAACUACGUG